GACGAACGCUGGCGGCGUGCUUAACACAUGCAAGUCGAGCGGAAAGGCCCUGCUUUUGUGGGGUGCUCGAGUGGCGAACGGGUGAGUAACACGUGAGUAACCUGCCCUUGACUUUGGGAUAACUUCAGGAAACUGGGGCUAAUACCGGAUAGGAGCUCCUGCUGCAUGGUGGGGGUUGGAAAGUUUCGGCGGUUGGGGAUGGACUCGCGGCUUAUCAGCUUGUUGGUGGGGUAGUGGCUUACCAAGGCUUUGACGGGUAGCCGGCCUGAGAGGGUGACCGGCCACAUUGGGACUGAGAUACGGCCCAGACUCCUACGGGAGGCAGCAAUGGGGAAUAUUGCACAAUGGGCGGAAGCCUGAUGCAGCAACGCCGCGUGCGGGAUGACGGCCUUCGGGUUGUAAACCGCUUUCGCCUGUGACGAAGCGUGAGUGACGGUAAUGGGUAAAGAAGCACCGGCUAACUACGUG
rnacentral:rRNA from 1 species